rnacentral:misc_RNA from 1 species
CAAAGAGCGAAUCAACAGCAAAAGGAAAACAGUUACCUAAUGGUGAGACCAGCAAUUAUCACCCUGAAACUUCCGAAUCUGCAUCUUCUCGCUUCUUGCUUCGUUGUGCUCCGGAUGUAGUUUCCAGUUUUUUUCAUUCAAAUCAAGUUGUGCCGAGUCCUAGCUCCAACUUUCCUAAAGGUGUGCAUCCAGCAAAUGGUCUCCAAUCAAAUGGCGUGCAUUCAGCUUCUGGAAUUCACCAUCCUUACGCACUACCCAGGCCCCGUG